AGAAAAACAUUAUAGGCGCCACCCCCACCAGUUCUGCCCCAAAUUGAAUCCUCCUUCCCAUCCCAGUCCUCCCGCCGGACCAACGCCGCCGCCGAGCCCCUUCGCCCUCUACAGCCCCCUCCACCGCUGACCUGUUCAACCUCCACCGAUAUUAAUGGUGCCGGCGCAUCGAGGUCGACGUCGCUUCCCUCCACGCCCAUCUGGUGUGCGAGGUGGACAUCGCCUUCCUCCCUUAGGCUCCGCCAUCGAGAUUGGUCAACGCCGUCGGUGCUCGACGCUUGCCUCCCUCCUCAGCACCAGAUCCCACGACAGCACCGAGCCCCUCCAUCGUGCUGCAAGCCCGCCGACGGCAAGCACGUGAGGAAGCGGUGCUUCUUGGCUCCUCUACCAUCUCUAGGUCGUCGCGCCACCACCAUGCCUCCGCGCUGAUCUACAUCUGACGACCAUGGGCGGGCUUCCUCAACCCCAACGGCGAGCGCAGUGCGUGCUCCUCACUACGCUGGUACAAAAGGCUGCUCAGAUCUGUCAAGGUGGAAACCAGAUGCAAGUUGACGGCGGAUACUUGAGAGUAUUUGGUUUAUGUAACUUCUGAGCAGGUUCAUUGAUUCUAGAGUUGCGUCCUUCUGUUAUGUGUAGAUGUAGAUGUAAAAGAAACAGUAAGUAAUCUCCCUUUCUUUUCAUUUACAUUUGUUAUAAUUUUAUAUGACAUGUCUUAUUGCAGCUAUGCAUUGCUGCAAUUGUACAGAUCGCUUAUGAUAAAAAGGGAAUAAUAUUUUGUCCAAACUGAGCAGAUGAGAGAAUAAUAAUGCUUAUUUUCUGAUGAAAAAUGUGGCUUCCGUAAUAGCCUACAGUAGCUUUGGACCGAACUAGAUGGGCACUCUCUGCUACCUUGCAAGUCUGUGUGUAACCUCACAUGAAAGUAUACUCAUUCACGUGCUGCUAUACUAUCUCCUAAUGCCUUCCCCUAAUAACAGAGGCCGUAAUCAAUACAUGUCAGGAAUAUGUCCUCAUCUGUACACAUAAAUAUCUACUACUGUACAUUGCAUCUAAUUUAUUGUAUGCUUUCCUGGUCUAAUGAACUGGAAUUGAAGUCCUGUUUUGGUUUGUUCUUAAAUCUCACGUAUGUACCUGAAUACCAUCUAUGGUUUACUUUCUUAGAUACAUUAAAUUUUAGUAAGUUUCAUGGAAACAAUUUUGCACAUCUAAAUUAUGGUGCGACCCCUUCUGAUUAUGUGUUGAUGAUCAUAAUGGAUUAUGGAAUGGUAAGAUACUCUGAAGCUUCUGAUUGCUAUCUGCACUAUUGUAUAUUUAAAACAUGAUUCAUAUAUGAUAUUUUGCAAUUUGUUAUCCUCCCAUAAUCACCCAGUUAAGGAAUUCCUCCAUUAAAAGUAUACCAAAUGCUCUUUUAUUACUGUAUUUUACACUCUUGGGUACAACUUAUUUGUUUUGUUGUUUUUACUAGGGAGAAACUUCAUUGUGCUGUCAAGUGAUCAAACUAACAAUUUUCCUUGAUCUGGCACAGAUUUUAUAGAAGUAGCUGGAAACUAGAAUCAGGAGCACGUAUACUUUCUUUCGAGUUAUUGUUUGAGCUUUGAUCUAAGUCAGCAGAAUUAUUUUUUGUAACAUGGUUCUCAUCUCUGAACACAUGUUGUUUCUUUUAUGUUAUGAUUUUUUAAAACAGAACACAUUAAUUGACAUAUAAUUUGUUAGCUUUAUAUAACGUUUUAAUUCUCUGAAAUCAAUUAUUGCAAAGAUUCAUUGCCAGUGCUCCAUGUUGUAAAGAUUCAUGCUUUUAGUGGCUAUAUUAAUCCAAAGUUCUCUUUAAAUGGUUAUCUCAUUACAUCCAGCAACUUUCAUCUGUACCAUCUUAUCUGUUCAGGUUGGCGUCACAGAAGAUAUUCUGGGAAACAUGUAGUUGUACUAGUGAACUAGGAUGUUUACAUGGUGAUUCAUCUGUUCAUAGUGACAACACAAUCAAGUGGGGUGAGGCUAUCAAUCUGUGAUCUUUCAAGCAUUGCAAGUUUGGUGCUCUUCUGCUGGAGACAUGGGGCCCUCUUUGAAUAAUGCAGUUUCACAUGAUGAUGGCGAGUCUGGUAUUCAGAACAUCUCAUGAAAAUGGCAAUUUCAUUUGGCAAACGGCUGAGCUGAAAUAUACACAAGUGUGAACAUGCCAUUGUUUCCUAGACAUAGUUGUAGCCAUAUGUCAAGAUCAAACCGUUAGUGUAGCUUAGUUUGAAGACAUGACAUCUUAUUGUCACAUGUAAAUUAUGUUUACCGAUGUGGUUGGUGGCUACUGAACACAUCUAUGGAUGUUGAAAUCUUGAAUUUGUAGUUUGAAUAUGUUUCAGGUCUGCUAUUGGAUCUUGAGUGAAAUGAUGUAUGAUGCCUCUGC